rnacentral:rRNA from 1 species
AUGGAGGUGACGGCCAUCAGCAUUGGCAAGUCCGUGUUGAGCGGGGCGCUCAACUAUGCCCAGUCUGCCGUUGCCAAGGAGGUGUCUCUGCAGCUUGGUGUCCAGCGUGACCACUCCUUCAUCAGGGCCGAGCUCGAGAUGAUGCAGUCAUUCCUGAUGGCUGCACACGAUGAGCGAGACGACAAUAAGGUGGUCAAGACUUGGGUGAAACAAGUCUGCGAUGUGUCCUACUCCGUCGAGGACUGCCUCCUGGAUUUUGCUGUCCGUCUUGAGAGGCAAUCUUGGUGGUGUCUCUCUCGGAAGGUGCUAGCCCGCCGUUAUGUGGCGAACCAGAUGAAGGACCUCAGAGCUGAGGUGGAGGAGGUCAGACAGAGGAACCAACGUUACCACCUCAUCAAGGGCUCUAGCUCCAAGUCUACCUCCGCUAUUGGGCAGCCUAUCAUCUCCGGUGCGACAAUGUCUGCCGCCAAUGAGGCAAGGCUACCACGGCAGAAAGCAAAAAUGGAUCUCCUCAUGUUGAUUGAUUGCAAGGAUGUGGCACUUAGGGUGAUAGCAUUGUGGGGCACAAGUAGUACUGAUCUGGGGGAGAUGUCCAUCAUGAAAAGUAUAUAUGAAGAUCCCAUGAUACACAAGAAUUUUGAUUGCUAUGCUUGGAUCACAUUGAUGUGUCCUUUCAAUCAGACAGAUUUCAUUCAAAGCAUUAUUAGGCAAAUUUAUGUUAAUUCUCUUCAAGAGACAGGAGAAGAAGGAAAAUCAGCUAUUGGGGCCCAAGUUUUGAAGAUGAUGGUGACAUUGAAAGAAGAUGGUUUGGCUCAUGAGUUCAAGAGAUAUUUGAAUUUCAAGAGUUACCUAAUUGUACUCAAUGGCAUAAGCACCAUUGAAGAGUGGGAUUGCAUUAAAACAUGUUUCCCAAACAACAAGAAAGGAAGUCGAAUCAUAGUAUCUACUGAGCAAAUUGAAGUUGUGAGCUUAUGCAUAGGAGCAGAGGAUGAAGCUCUAAUGCAUAAGAAGUUACUCGCUGAUCAGUCUCUUUAUGCUUUCUACAAGAAGGUAUCUCAGGAGGGAAGGGAUUCAGCGGAAAAAGGGUCCAUCUCAUGCAUAGUCCCUACCGCUGUUGAAAACUCUACACACAAGAACAUCCUCACCCGGACGGAGACAAUGGCUACUCUAGAGGAAUCUCGUCUCAUUGGGAGAGGGAAUCAAAAAGAGGAAAUCAUCAAUCUAAUCUCGAAUAAAGAUCUCAACCAUUUUCAUGUGUUCUCCUUGUGGGGAAUGGGUGGUAUUGGGAAAACAACACUAGUGACAGAUAUUUAUCAAACCCAAGAGAUUAGUAGCAUGUUUGAUAAGCGUGCUUGUGUCACGGUCAUGCGUCCUUUCAAUCCAGCAACACUCAUUGGGAGCUUAGCUAUGCAAUUUGGAGGUAAAAAUGGGACAGAUUUAAGGAGAUGCUUAGAAGAAAGGAGAUGUUUGCUUGUUCUUGAUGAUUUGUGGUCCAUAGAAGAGUGGAAUGCUAUAAAACAAUAUUUGCCAGAAACGGCAGCAAGUUGCAUAAUAGUCACCACAAGGGAAGAGAAUAUAGCGAAGCACUGCUCCAAGGAUGAAAGAAAUAUAUACAAGCUCAACCAUUUGGAUCAUGUUGAUGCAUGUACCCUCUUCACCAAAAAGGUAUUUAAGGAGAUCGUAAAUUUGGAUGAGCAAUAUCCAGAGUUGGUUGAACAAGCAAAACUGAUAUUGAAGAAGUGCAGAGGACUUCCCCUUGCACUAGUCACCAUAGGUGGAUUCCUGGCAAACCAACCAAAAACUGCUGUCGAAUGGAGAAAAAUGAAUGACCAUAUCAGUGCUGAGUUGGAGAUGAAUCCAGAACUUGAGAUCAUAAAAGCAAUCCUUAUGAAAAGCUAUGAUGGUUUACCCUAUUACCUCAAGGCUUGUUUCUUGUAUCUGGCCAUCUUUCCUGAAGACCAGCAGAUUGCACGGAGACGCUUAGUUCGUCGGUGGAUUGCAGAGGGUUACUCAAGUAAGGUGCGUGGCAAGUCUGUGGAGGAAGUAUUGGACUCUUACUUCAUGGAACUCAUAAGCAGGAGCAUGAUCUUACCAUCUCAACAGUCAAUUCAUAGUAGGAAAGGAAUUGACUCCUGCCAUGUGCAUGAUCUCAUUCGUGAAAUUGCCAUCUCAAAGUCUAUGGAGGAAAAUCUUGUUUUCACAUUGGAGGAAGGGUGCAGUUUGAACAACCAAGGCAUAGUGCGUCAUCUUGCUGUAAGCAGCAACUGGAAAGGGGAUCAGUGUGAGUUUGAGAAUUUGGUAGACUUGUCCCGUAUACGAUCAUUGACUGUAUUUGGAAAUUGGAGGCCAUUUUACAUUUCUGAUAAGAUGAGGUUGCUCCGAGUGCUGGAUUUGGAAGGCCAGUGGGAUCUAGUUGAUCAUCAUCUUGAGCACAUUGGGAAGCUUGUACAUCUUAGAUAUCUUUCUCUAAGGGGACAUUAUAAUAUAUUUCACCUGCCAAAUUCAUUGGGGAACCUGAGACAACUCCAGACACUAGAUAUUUCAGGUACCAGCAUAAUGAAGCUACCAAGGACCAUCAUCAAGAUUGAGAAGAUGCAACGCAUUCUUGCUAGUGGUGUAGGACAGUAUCAUUUUGAUAUAUAUCAACGUGCAAAUAAGUGGUCCCUAAAGAGUUUACCUUUAUAUUCAGUGCGUUGUUGUGUGGCAUGUUGUGCACCUAAUAGGCUGGGAAGGCAAUUUAAACUUAACGAUGGUGCACUUAACAGGCGUGAUGUAUGCACUGCGUUCUGUUGUAGCAUAUUACCUUAUUAUGUGGCAGGAGGACGAAAUCCAGGUACUGUUGAAGUGCCAAGUGGGAUUUGGAAACUGAAGACCCUGCAUACACUUGGUACCGUGGACAUAUCAGUGGGGAGGACUGUUCUCCAAGAUAUAAAAAGGCUGACCCGGUUACGCAAGUUAGGAUUGGCAGGCAUCAACAAGAGAAACAGUCAAGAGUUGUGUUCAGCAAUUGCUUGUCUCAACAGCCUGGAGUCAUUGUCACUGCAAUCACAUGGAGAGACAGGUUUAUCAGGCUGCUUGGAUGGCAUGUCGUCACCUCCAGAAAACCUGCAGAGCCUCAAGUUAUACGGCAACCUGGAUAAACUGCCGGAGUGGAUCCAGGGGCUCAAAAAUCUGGUGAAGCUGAAGCUAGAGUGGUUGAGUAUAUCGGAGCAUGAUGUGGCCAUGCAAGUCCUUGGGAAUCUACCAAACCUGGCCACCCUACGUCUAUUGGGUUGCUCGUUCAGUGGUGAAGAGGUUCGUUUCAGUUUAUGUGGGGAUGCAUUCCCGACACUGAAGGUGCUAGAGCUGAAUUGCGUAAGGAACCUCAAGUCGGUGGAAUUUGAAGAAGGAGCAGCCCCUAAGCUUGAGUUGCUGCAGUAUUCUAAACUGAGCAGUGACAGUGUUAGGUUGUUCUGUGGGUUACCACUUCUCCCAAGCCUCAAGGAAUUUAUGCUUGAUUGGAGGGACUGGCAUGAUACAGAGUUGGGGGAGUACUUGCGUGGCCAGCUCGCAGAGAAUGAAAACCGGCCCGUUUUGAAGAUGUGGGAUCCGAAAUCCUAG